rnacentral:tRNA from 1 species
GAGGGUACAGCUCAGCGGUAGAGCACAUGCUUCGCGUGCAGGAGGCCCGGGGUUCAAUCCCCAGUACCUCCA